rnacentral:snRNA from 1 species
AAACUUACCUGACGCGAGAGGCACCUUGAUCAACUAGGAGGUCCUCUCAGGAUGAGGCCCUUUCAUUGCACUUCGACUGGGUUGACUCCUGCGAUUAUCCCUAAUGUGGGUAACUCGAGCGUAUAAUUUCUGGUAGUGGGGACCUGCGUUCGCGCUCGUCCCCU